rnacentral:rRNA from 1 species
CAAUAGCGUAUAUUAAAGUUGUUGCAGUUAAAAAGCUCGUAGUUGAAUUUCUGGUGGGCGCGCCGGUCUUCCAAGUGUUGUACUGGGCGCAGUCCGCCAUCCUUGUGGAGAGGGCUCGCAUUGAGUUGCGUGUCGGAUCUGCAUCAUUUACUGUGAAAAAAUUAGAGUGUUUAAAGCAGGCUGUCGCUUGAAUACAUUAGCAUGGAAUAAUAAGAUAGGACUUCGGUCUAUUUUGUUGGUUGCGAACCGAGGUAAUGAUUAAUAGGGAUAGUUGGGGGUAUUCAUAUUUAAUUGUCAGAGGUGAAAUUCUUGGAUUUAUGAAAGAUGAACAACUGCGAAAGCAUUUACCAAGGAUGUUUUCAUUA